UUCCACGUCUUUGAGAUCAUGCGUCAGCUGCCUGGCUUCUCCAUGUAUGAUCUUAAUGUUGAUCCUGAGGUAUCUCAACCUACUGGGAAAGUCACCUUCGCCAGGCCACAGAGAGUCGUCAUGUGGCUGAACCAGAUCUUCCUCCUACCGGAGGGCAUUGAUACCCCAGUUGUGACGUUCAACUUUCUGCGCCGUGGGCAGAGAUCACACUAAUCACAGACGACAUAGACCUACAGGCARAGGCAGACUUYCCCACGUACUUUGGGAAGCUGCGGACCACCAUGACUGAGGUGAACAAACCUGUUCUCACACAACCCACCUCAACUUUCACACCAAUAGCAUUUCUCUCGUUACCAACCUCACAACACCUUUGAUAUCGCUUUAUUUUUGUGUAGUUGGCCUAACAUUUCAAUGUUCUUUUUCAGUCGACUCGGUUCGACGUYUCACUAUGGGACACACCCACUUUUACGGGUCAUUGGUUGAAGCCUUAUUCAAUCAAACCUAACAGGCCAUUCAGAGCUUUGUKGGUGUAUGCCCCUCGUGUCUAUAUAACAUCCUGCACUGCUCUGGUUUCCUAUUUCUUUGCAUCAUCACAAGUCUAUUUGGGUACUAGCUCAUUAAGCAACGUUCUUCAGAAAACUAGCUCUCAACWUAACUUUUCUUUCCUGGUGGGUUACCACCCCACCAUGGAGAAUUGGGUGGCUUAUUUUCUAUUUUCAGGAAUUCUGAAAUCUUCAGCUUCACUUUACAGAGUGAAAAUACCUUAGUUAGCUUGUUAGCAGCACUUYUUGUCGUUGGCUAGCUACAGUACAUCUGUUGCCUGGCCUUGUUAGCUAGCUUGCUCCACUGCUUUAGCAUCCCGCUAAUUGCAGGUUCCCACAAAUUUAAGCUACUUAUACCUGGGGUCUCUAGCUCUCUGUCGGAUUCCACCGUUCGGAGCUAGCUAGCUAAACUUUUGAAUGUCUUGGCUGUGUAGUGUGCUAACGGAUCCGCUGGUGUUUUAGCUAGAAUCCUUUGGGCUAAACCCUCAUUCGAUUUGUUUGGCUAGCACGAGCGGUGCUGUUUCUUCAGUGUGUUACCCCACCAUUGAAGCACCAUCCCUUUUACCUUCCCCUGUGAAUGAUAGCCCAGCCGUUCGUUCUACCUCGAGUUAUUUGGUUUACACACCGAGUCGGCACUUGGUAUCUCAUGCGACGGCUCGGCUAGCUGGCUAUCGUCACUCAGGUGAAGAUUGCGGGCAUUACAAUUGCGAGCAUUACAUGUCCGGGACAGAUUCCCAUCCACUCUGUAAUACUUGGCUAGGCGUCGAACACGCCAUGGAGGCUCUCGUCGACCCCACUAGUUGUGUGCAUUGCGCUCAGAUGGGCUCCGGUGGCCUAAGACGUAGAGCCAAGUACAUGGAAAGUAUUGCCCAGGCCUCGUCCUUGCUCGAAGACGACUCUGUUGACAAUGAAGUCCCUGAGGAGGGAGAAGCUACCGCCUCUGUCUGAGGCGGACCUUAAUUCUGAUGAAUCCGGAAGUGAGGACGACAGCAUGUCUCUUGCCGCAUCAGCCUCUCUAACCAGGAGAUGGAUUACGCCCCUGAAUAAUUUCUCCCCUCUACUCAGUUUGUGCUACCCAGCCAGACUGCAGAGGUAGGACAUGAGUCAAUAACUGACCUCUCCUUCUUCGAGGCAAUCAGAUGCACUGCAACCAAAUUUGAUGUUGAGUAUUCAACGCCUCCCACACCUUACAAGAAGACUAGUGUAACGGAUGUGAAAUGGCUAGCUA